UACGGGGGGUGCGAGCGUUGUCCGGAAUCACUGGGCGUAAAGGGCGCGUAGGUGGCGUCGUAAGUCUGUGGUGAAAGCCCGGAGCUCAACUCCGGGUCUGCCGCGGAUACUGCGAGGCUUGAGUGCUGUAGAGGGGGGUAGAAUGCCGGGUGUAGCGGUGGAAUGCGUAGAGAUCCGGCAGAAGACCGGUGGCGAAGGCGGCCUCCUGGGCAGUAACUGACACUGAGGCGCGACAGCGUGGGGAGCAAACAGG
rnacentral:rRNA from 1 species